UCCCUACGGGGGGCAGCAGUGGGGAAUAUUGCACAAUGGGGGAAACCCUGAUGCAGCGACGCCGCGUGAAGGAAGAAGUAUUUCGGUAUGUAAACUUCUAUCAGCAGGGAAGAAAAUGACGGUACCUGACUAAGAAGCCCCGGCUAACUACGUGCCAGCAGCCGCGGUAAUACGUAGGGGGCAAGCGUUAUCCGGAUUUACUGGGUGUAAAGGGAGCGUAGACGGCAGUGCAAGUCCGGAGUGAAAGCCCGGGGCUCAACCCUGGGACUGCUCUGGAAACUGUAAAGCUGGAGUGCGGG
rnacentral:rRNA from 1 species